rnacentral:tRNA from 1 species
GGCGGAGUAGCUCAGCUGGCCAGAGCGUACGGUUCAUACCCGUGAGGUCGAGGGUUCGAGCCCCUCCUCCGCUACCA